AAAGUGUGGAAUGAUGUAAAAACUUUUUUCCCCAUCCUAUCGACAAUGAUGAUAAACUUGCUGUCACUUUGUGGCAAGCCAGAACUGCCUGACCACACUGU